CCCUUAGAUGUUCUGGGCCGCACGCGCGCUACACUGAUUCAUGCAACAAGUUUUGUCCUUGGCUGAUAGGCCUGGGUAAUCUUUGAACGUGAAUCGUGAUGGGGAUAGAUGAUUGCAAUUAUUCAUCUUCGACGAGGAAUUCCUAGUAAACGCAAGUCAUCAGCUUGCAUUGAUUACGUCCCUGCCCUUUGUACACACCGCCCGUCGCACCUACCGAUUGAAUGGUCCGGUGAAAUCUUCGGAUCUGAGAGAUGUCUGAUUAAUUUCGGACGCCUUUUGGAAAAGUUGCUUAAACCUUACCAUUUAGAGGAAGGUGAANUCGUAACA
rnacentral:rRNA from 1 species